GACGUAGGGCGCGAGCGUUGUCCGGAUUUAUUGGGCGUAAAGGGCUCGUAGGCGGUUUGUCGCGUCGGGAGUGAAAACCCAGGGCUUAACCCUGGGCUGGCUUCCGAUACGGGCAGACCAGAGGUAUGCAGGGGAGAACGGAAUUCCUGGUGUAGCGGUGAAAUGCGCAGAUAUCAGGAGGAACACCGGUGGCGAAGGCGGUUCUCUGGGCAUUACCUGACGCUGAGGAGCGAAAGUGUGGGGAGCGAAUAGG
rnacentral:rRNA from 1 species